GUCUAUGCGAAAGGGGGUGGAGCGAGUGCAUUACAUUUUCGACGUCUUACUUGCUAUUGUGGCAGAAGUAACGGCACAUUACAUUUGCAAGUGGCUAGAUAGCAAGGACAAACGCUGAAGCUAGCCCAACACCGACAAAAAGCCCCUAGGGAACUGGCAUUCCUUAGGGGCUUCGGUGUGCU
rnacentral:sRNA from 1 species